GGCCAGUUAGCUCAGUUGGUUAGAGCGUGGUGCUAGUAAUACCAAGGUUGCCAGUUCAAUCCUGGCAUGGGCCA